GCGUCAUGAGAAGGUCCACACCCCAAGUAUACGCAGGGUCACACAACCUAAGUAUAUUCACCACGGCUAUCCAUGAUCCAUCUACAUUUAAAGAUGAAAUAAAACCCCUUUUUUCAGUACUGAUAAUAAUGAGGAGCAUCUGGCAUAGCAAUGGAUAGUAGGGUUAAUGGGGCAGGACAACUUAUAAGCAAUCCAAAACUCUUAGGAGAAUCAAGGCAAGUACAAAAAUGUAAAACUCUUAUCCCCUCAUCAUGAAAAUGACCUAGGUAAACAAUGUUCUACAUCUCUGAGCACAUAAAACAUAUAGCUCCAAAGGCAGUUUGCGAAAGAUGCUACCUAAAACAUCCCUUGAAUUUUACCCCAGGUAUUAGCAUCCCCCUAAUAUUCCCUUUAACUCCCUCCGUCCUAUAUUAGUUGUCACAUUUCUCUUUUACAUGUCCUUUAUACUUGUACACAUAUAGUCAAAUUUUGAAUUAAAUGAGAAAAAAAGGUCCUUUCAUCUAUUUUUUCCGUUCAUUCUUUUUGAAUGACAAGAAGCCUAGAACGUGAUUUGAACAUUUUACAUCCUCAAGUGAAAUUUUUCACACUUACAAAAAGAAUAACAAAGGACUUUUAACACUUUGCCGAUUUCUUUGAAUCUUACCAACAAAUCAGUGGUAGACCCAGGAUUUUAGUAUCAUGGAUGCUCUAAGGCCUUCUAAUGUAGGUUGCCAUAGACUUGAAUUUUAAGGUGAUUUAGAGGAAAAAUUAUCAUUAAUAUUAUCAUUACAAACAGAAUGUUCAAGAAUAAUCAAAACAUCAAACCAAAACAAAAAUCACACUGAAUCUAUGUAAAAAUAAUUGACAUAUUCUAAACCACUGCACCCACCCCCUCAUGUGCUCUGACUGCGUCUCUAUGUACAAAAUAUAAUUAAUUUCCUAUAAAAACACAGACUAUAAGUCGAGACAAUCUAGGCCUACCCAUGCAGCUGAGUGUUAAAAAGCUGAUUGUUCUAAAGAGGAAGGAUCAGCACAAUAGGAGCGGAAUGCUCCAAGAAGAACAGUUAAUUGUGGUGGUGCAGGCAGCAGAGGGAAUGAGAGAGCUGUGCACAAUGUUUAUGCAAAGGAGAUCGGCACAUUAGUUAUGUUUUCUAUGCGAGGAGAGCAGGGAAAAAAUUAACCACAUGACAAUCAAAAAGCUGAAAAAUGUAUUGGUAAAACAAGAUGGUGAAAAGAUAUUCUUAAACUUGGGAGUCAAAUUAACGAGAUUUCAUAGAUUAGAAACAAGCAACAGAGAAAUGAACCAAUUCGGGAUUAGUAAGUUGACAAAAUUAUUGUGUUUCAAAGUUGUCUAAUGAUAAACUCAGAAUAAGAUCCAAUGACCAAGACUUCCAUGAAAGUUGCAUGGUUUUACCAUACAAUAAGAUCCUUUAGCAUAUGAUUCAUCAUAUGACCCGGAUGUCAUUGAUAAAGUUGUUGUCAUGUGACCAGGAGGUCACGCAUUCAAGCCUUGAAACAGCCUUUGACAAAAAUGCAAGGUCAGGCUGUGAUGAUAGACCCUUGUGGUCGGACCCUUCUCUGGACCUGCACAUAGCGGGAGCUUUAGUGCACCGGGCUGCCCUUCUUUUUUACCAUAUGAUUUAUCAAACUUCUACAGAAAGUUGUUAGUGUUUUCAACAUGUAUCUUCACCUCAUAAAAAUGAAAUUCACUUAGUAUCUAAAGGAACACGACUUUCUUAAUCUUAUACAAUCAGUUCAAACAAAAUUUAUCGCCAGCCUGUCCAGAAAAGUUACAAUCUUUACCAACACGUGGUCACUCCACUAACUUCACGAGAUACCUACCAGCUACAAUCAACAUAGGAGGUACCACAUUACCUACAGACUAUAGGUACCUUUAACUAAUUAUUUGAUCCACACAUAACCAGAAUACAAUGCAAUACGAUACAUUAUGAAACAAUACGUAACUAACAAUCAUCCAAACGAAGUGUAAAGGCAAAACAGGAAUAUUACCGGUUGGCUGGCGUGGAGGAGUGCAGCAGGACCAAGAUAAGACUCAGAAUUCCACCAAUAACUAGGACAUGAAGUACUACAACAAGCACAGAGAAUACACUCACACAUCCCAUCCAACUUAGCACUAUCACUCUUACUCUGAGGUAUCUCCUUCCCAGCGAGUCCGUUACAGUCGUCGAUGUUCAUUGCACAAGAACCACAUACAUGAUCUUCGAAAUGUAAGAGAACGAUCGAUUUCGUUUUUUAUUUUGAUUAAGGCGUCUAAUACCAUUGGUCCGCAUUCCUUUAAAUCGAUUUUGUAUUCUUGGAGUUCCGGUUUUCCGGGAUUUUCUGGAUUCCAUCGGUUAAUUUGAAAUGACUUGAGGUUGGGUGCUUGUCGGGAUUUAGGGUCGGAAGUGUGCGCUCAGGCAAUUAGUAGCUUUGCCGGAGCCGGAGAUGAUGACUGAACCCUAGAAAUUGCUCGUCGGAUUAAACCAGCAGUCAUUGAUGAAUGCUUUGGUAAAUGCAUGUUCUUUUGUUCGCUUUCACAUUACAGAAAAGUUGCUUUUUCCUUUUUCAGAAAAAAUGACAAAAAUGAUCCUUACUUUUAAGUGUGCGUUAAAAAUAGUCCCGGUUUUGGUCUUUUAAGUUUGUGACAAGUUAACAAAUAUGGUCCUUUUUGUUUGAGGGUGAGUUCAAAAUCAUCCAUUAAACAUGCACAUAAUAGUUUUGGUCCUUUAAAAUUGUCAAAAACUAACACUUUUAGUCUUCAGCAGAAUAUGUAUACUGUUAAAUUUGAUAAAAUUAUGAAAGAAAGGUUCAAUUAUAAACACCAAGGAACUCCGAUCAAAUCCUAAAAUAUGCAACACAAAAGCUACAUUAAUUAAACCCUAAAAAGAGAUAAAACCGACAUAAAAAAAAUCAAAAGGCACUGUUGAAAAAUCAAUGAUUCUUUUUGCAAGAAUCGACGAACUUUUAUUGAUUAUUUCUGCUCAAAAUUGCACGAAAAUUAUAUAAGUUUGUAAAAGUUUAAGGAUUAAAACCGUCCAACUAUAUCUAUUAAUCAUGACAAAAUAAUACAACCUGCCACAACAAUUAUGUUUAAGAAAAUCUCAAAUAAAUCACAAUUAAUUGAACUUCUGUUUGUCAAUAUUGCUUCAAUUAGGUAUGUCUAGUCUAACUUUAUAGUGUACUUAGUUGUUUACUUUGUGUCGCACCUUAAAUUCAACCAUAUGUUCCACACUGUGGUGUUAAUAUACGGCUGAUAAUUUCUUAAGUUUGUUCAUUUUUUCCACACGCGUAAUUCUUGCGGGCCACGACUGACGGCAUUUUCUACUGUUCCAGUCUCUCGUCUUGUUUUUCUUCCUUGUGGAAAACAAAGUCAUCAGUCUUUGUUCCAAUGCGCAGAGAAGAAGCAAAAAGAAAUCUCCGCGUACCAAUAAAUACGUCAGUCUUUCUUUAUUUAUUUUUUUGCUUCAAAAAACUUGUCAGGCUACAGCCAAGAGCUGCAAAGUUGCAGUAGUAGUCUGAGAUGUUAAGGUCCUGUUUUGGGAGUUGCUUUGGUGGUGGUGGUGGUGAUGGUCUCCUAUGGCAUAUGGACUUGAAGCAACAUGCCACUGGUGAAUAUUCUGUUGCUGUUGUUCAGGCGAAUUCUUUGCUUGAAGAUCAAGGUCAAGUUCUUACAACUCCUAGUGCUACUUAUGUUGGUGUUUAUGAUGGUCAUGGUGGCCCUCAAGCUUCUCGCUUCAUCAACAACAAUCUCUUCCCUCAACUCCAAAGUAAACUCCAAUCUCCAUCUUUUUUUCCGAGUCUUGUAGGACCUUUACUCUUUUGUUGUUUCUUGUCAGUCAUAUAUAGGUCUAACAGCAAAAGUGUGCUAGUGCAAUUUUUCUAAUUUGUUAGGUGGAGAAUUCUAACCUAUAUAAUUUUUGUAACUUAAUUCUUGAUUGUUGGUUUCUGUGGUGCUUUUUUUUUUUGUUAUGUUGAAACAUCAUGAGAUUGAUCAGGGAAGACUGAGAGAAAACUAAUUUGAUCAUGUGUGGAGUGGAAGAGUAAAGAGGAACUGAGCUUGUUCAAAUACUAGAAAUGUUCACCUUUUGAAUGUCCGGAUCAAUGUUAUUAGAAACACUUGAUAUUGAUUGAAUUGUGUUUCAUUUCCUUAUUAUUUCGGUUAUUAUAGAGCUUGCAUUGGAAGGAGGAGGAUUGUCCGAGGACGUGAUCAGGAAAGCAUUUGAUGACGUUGAGGAAGGAUUUUUCUGUUUGGUGAAACAGUCUUGGCUGGAUCAGCCUCGGAUUGCUUCUGCAGGAUCUUGUUGUCUAGUCGGAGCAAUUUCGAAAGAUAGAUUGUAUGUAGCAAACGUUGGGGAUUCCAGGGCAGUGCUUGGCAGGAGAGUGGAGGCUGGCAAGGCGGGUGAUUCUGCAACAGUUCUGGCAGAACGUUUGUCUAUAGAUCAUAAUGUUGGGGUUGAGGAGGUAAGGAAGGAGGUAGAAGCACUACAUCCAGAUGAUCCUUACAUCGUGGUGUACACUCGAGGGGUUUGGAGAAUCAAGGGUAUAAUUCAGGUAUCCGUUAUCAACUGCUCUUUUCUACUGUCUUAUUAAUGCAGUCGACAAUUUUAUUAGUUUUUUAACUCAUUCAAGGUUACUAACUUUGUUUACUAGCCUUCCUGUUAUUCAGUUUAAGUUAUCUAGAAUUAAUACAUCCUUUUAGACCUGCAGUGGUAAUGAAUCAGACCUCCAAUUGAUGAAGACCAAUUAGACCUUUUCAGAUAUGUGGUUUUGUUACGACUAGACGAUAUCUCAAUAUGAUAAUAGGUUCUAUUCAAUCUUAAUGACAUAUGGUGGAAGGAGAAAAUAAUCAGAUCUCAUUUCAUUCUCAGUUCUGAUUUUCCGUUAAGUUUACAAUGGGCGAUCUGCUGUUACCUCUUAGCAAUCAAGAUAAGCUAAAGAGGCUGCUCAAUAUAUGUUCUAAAAGUAAGAAACAUAUGGAAGCUAGACAACAAAGAAGACCAAUGUCUUUCUUUCUGAACUCUGGUUUGUACUCGCACACAAAUACAAACAUUUAUAUUUAUUUAGUUGGAAAAAGCUCACCUUUUUGUUACUAGAGCAUGUUAUGAGGGUGGUCUAAAAUCUCUAGGGAACUCAAAGUUGAGGCUACUAAACCAGUCACUUUAUAUAUGCCAAUUAUGUUUGUGCACUUACAGCAAGUUGAUCAUACCUUUAGACGUGUUGUAUGUCAAGUCUUUCUUGGGUACCUUUUUUGUGUUUACACAUCAAAAUAUGCUUUCAUCUACUGUUUCUGAGGUUAUAGACUGUACGUUAAAUUUUCUCCUUUUAUCUUCUAAACCAAUCCUUAUAAAAAAAACUGUCACGUCAUAUGCUGAUUAUGUUGGUAACUUGUAUCAAGUUGAUCAUAUCCAUUAAAAGUGUUGUAUGCCAAGUUGUUUUCGGAGAUAAAUAUGCUGUUAUUGGCUACUUUUUAAGGUUUUAAACCUUGUGUAAAAUUAAUUUCUCUUUUUCAGUCUAGUACAAUGCAUAUCCAUUUAGCAAUUCAGGUAGUGUCAAGAUUGAUAAGUUGCACCUAUGAGAUUCACAUCAAGGCCCAAACAUUUUGUUGCACCAGUAGUAAUUUUGUUUUAUGUAUGGACAAAAAGGAAUCUCCUUUCCUCUUUAUCCCUUCACCCUUGGCCACUUAAUAGCAAUUUUUUUUAUCUCUUGGUAACUAGAAUAUGUAGCAGGGGCUGCAUGAUGCUCAUCUUUCCAUCUUGCAUCCUUCAUUUUAACUUCAGCAAGGUUUCUUUGUUAUUUGAAAGAUGUCAAAGAAAUUCUGAAGCUGACUAUUUUCAUUAAAAGUUCGCUAGCAGCCAAUUUUGGGGUCUGGGGAGUAUCCUAUGUUUUGAGAAAAUCCAUCUAGCUAAGAUUGCCUAUUUGCUUGCACCAGGUUUCUAGAUCAAUUGGUGAUGUCUAUCUGAAGAAACCUGAGUUUAGCAGAGAUCCUCUCUUCAUACAAUAUGGAUAUCCUAUUCCUUUAAAAAGACCUGUAUUGUCAGCAGAGCCUUCUAUACUGAUCCGGAAGAUAAGACCAGAAGACUUAUUUUUGAUAUUUGCAUCGGAUGGCCUAUGGGAGCAACUAAGUGAUGAAGAAGCUGUGGACAUUGUUUUGAAGAAUCCUAGAACUGUGAGUAUCGACCCCCUCCUGUUCUAUCAGGUUCUUGAAUUUCUAGAAGCAGUAGCGUUUUGUUGUCUGUAAAUUGGACUUAGGCUCUUAUAUAACUACUCUACUUGAAGCAAUUCUGUGAUCAAACUUAUCCAUGUUGGACAUAAUUAACUAAUGCAUAGGAUAGCUGAUAUUUUCUUCCCAUUUCUCCAGGGAAUAGCCAAACGAUUAGUGAGAGCUGCCCUUGAGGGGGCUGCAGAGAAGAAAGAAAUGAGAUACGAGGACAUCACACGACUAGAGAAGGGGGAAAGGCGGCAUAUUCAUGAUGAUAUCACAGUCAUAGUAAUGUAUUUGGAUCACCCUGGAAGGUCCAUAAAUGCUGGAUCGAAUAUUGUUAAGGGCACCAACAUCCCUCUUGACAUAUACUCCUUGAACUCAGGUCAUCAAGGAGAGAACACAUCUUAUGUUUCCCCAUGAAUAGUGUCUAAUACAUGUAUACGGUAUACGAUUUUGUAAAUACUUCAUCUUGGACUUGGAAAGUUUCUUUAUAUACUUUUAGAUUACAAUCAGAAGGACCAGCCAUGUACGUAUAUCUUAAUGUAUAUGUGUACCUUCUGUAUUGUAGCUGAUAGAUUAAGCUGAUGAAAAAUGAGCUUGGGCUUUCGCUUCUGUUUUUGACUCUUUCCUUGAAAGCUAUAUGUUGUAUUUCCCUGGCAAUUAUACUACAACUGCAUGAUGAAGUUUAUUAGAUGAAAUGAAAUUACAGUUUUUUCAAGUCAAUAAACCAUGAGUAUUCACCUUAAUUCUGGGAUUUGUUUUCCUCGGCGGGAGGAUCAAUAGUGUUCUCACUUCCCCUCUAGCGUGACUUGGACCCUCAGGUUUGAAACAUUUGUUUAUUCAGUUCCACAGGUUUGAAACAUCUGAGCUUCAAAAUUCAUUGGACGAAAUUUGCCUGGGCACAAUAUUUGAGUUGGGAAAUGACCUCUUUUUUAAAUACAUAAGGGUCUAUUUUAAAGAUAAAAUCUGUAGAGGUAUGUGAAUUCGUGUAUAGAGAAUUCAUCCCAGAAAUAUUAACAUAACUUUAAGACAAGCAAAGUAGAAAGUGAGAAGAUUAGGAUAGAAGAGAAGACGAAUUUGAAUUGAACUGGUGUUGGA
rnacentral:lncRNA from 1 species